rnacentral:tRNA from 1 species
UGGCAUAGCGGUUAGUGCACAGCCCCGGACAGGUUGAGACGCGGGUUCGAAUCCCGC